GAUGAACGCUGGCGGCGUGCCUAAUAUAUGCAAGUCGAGCGAACAGACGAGGAGCUUGCUCCUCUGACGUUAGCGGCGGACGGGUGAGUAACACGUGGAUAACCUACCUAUAAGACUGGGAUAACUUCGGGAAACCGGAGCUAAUACCGGAUAAUAUAUUGAACCGCAUGGUUCAAUAGUGAAAGACGGUUUUGCUGUCACUUAUAGAUGGAUCCGCGCCGCAUUAGCUAGUUGGUAAGGUAACGGCUUACCAAGGCAACGAUGCGUAGCCGACCUGAGAGGGUGAUCGGCCACACUGGAACUGAGACACGGUCCAGACUCCUACGGGAGGCAGCAGUAGGGAAUCUUCCGCAAUGGGCGAAAGCCUGACGGAGCAACGCCGCGUGAGUGAUGAAGGUCUUCGGAUCGUAAAACUCUGUUAUUAGGGAAGAACAAAUGUGUAAGUAACUAUGCACGUCUUGACGGUACCUAAUCAGAAAGCCACGGCUAACCACGUG
rnacentral:rRNA from 1 species